AGCCCCGGAGCCUAUUAGGGCUCUUCUUUAAAUUUGCAUUUUAAUGUGAGACACCCCAGGACU
rnacentral:tRNA from 1 species